GGAGGAUCUGCUGGGCUGUCUCCUAACAAAGGAAAAACAGCAUGGAGGAACAGGGAGCUUCUUUUAUAGGAGUGGGGUGGAGUUAACCUGAGCUGGGGUGGAGUUGAGUGAGGUAGCAUUAAGAGAUUGGGGAGCCUGUGACAUCACUAGGAGGGUCUUGUGACAUCACUGGUUACCUGGAGGUAGCAAGUAUCAGGUUACUCUUUUGGCAUGAAGAGAGGCAUGAUAGGAAGAAGGCUGUCCCUUGGUAGGAGAAGCCAUAUUUAACAUCUAGACUUAUUCCAUGUGGCAGCCAUUUUAAAGCACAGAGAAUUAUGGGAAUGAAGCUACUGUUUUACGUAGCAGCCAUCUUGAGGCAAGGGAAUCUAACACCACCUUCCUUUGAGAAGUCAGGCAGCACUAGGUAGGGUAGGCAUCUACACUGAGCGUGAGAGUGGAUAUCUUUUUAUGCCCAAAAGCAACUCCUGAGUUCUGAGGAACUAGGGUAAUUAUGAGACUAUGGACAGUUUUGUUAGAGGUUACAUUGGAGUUGCAAAAUGUCUUCCUGGUUCCUUUCAGAAAGUCUUUAAUCAUGCCAUCAGUGGGGCGACCAAGUAUUCCAUGUGAUGGCUCUGGAGAGAGACAGCUCUGCAUCCACAUGAAAGUGCACAGCGUAGAGCUGGAAGACGUUGCUGUGCUCUGGGGGGCUGCUUCAGGUCUGACACCUAACAGGCCCUGGAGGUCCUCUUGACUAGUAAGGAGGUCACCGGCCAUGGCACAGGCUGGCAACAAUAUCUUACUGGCACUGUGGGGCCGAGCCUUCAUGAUGUGGCUUUACCAGCUAAGUCCAGAUUUUACAUGAGAGAAAAAUAAAGUUGUCUAGCUUAUGGCACAGAUAUUUUGGCUUAGAGUCAUGUCUAAUCUUAACAAUAUGAGAAUAUUGCUUAAGGUCAUGCAGCUGGUAAGUGGCAGGAAGGCCCUAGUCCAAACCCCAGUUUGUCUGAUUUGAAAAGGCCCAGUUCUAUUGCCGUAGUGUUAUACUGACCUGGGAGUAAAGAAAGACUCUUCACAAUAUUAGGUAUUUCAAGCAGGUCCACUUGAUCUUGGAAUACAGUCGCUAUUUUGUUUCCAGUUACUCUGUCCUCCUAAUUACAUUUGACUCUGGCUGAUAUUAAAUUGGGAUCUAUACUCCAAGCACGUGCAUGUGGGUUUUGGCAGGAGGAAGGGUCCCCAGAAGGCCUGUCUGACCUUCAAUUCUUGUUAGAUGCCUGGAC
rnacentral:lncRNA from 1 species